rnacentral:rRNA from 1 species
UAGGGAAUCUUCGGCAAUGGGGGGAACCCUGACCGAGCAACGCCGCGUGAGUGAAGAAGGUUUUCGGGUUGUAAAAAUCUUUUCUAUGGGAAGAAAAUGACAGUACCAUAGGAAUAAGGACCGGCUAAUUACGUGCCAGCAGCCGCGGUAAUACGUAAGGUCCGAGCGUUGUCCGGAAUCAUUGGGCGUAAAGGGUACGUAGGCGGGUAAGCAAGUUAGAAGUGAAAUCCUGUAGCUCAACUACAGUAAGCUUUUAAAACUGCUCAUCUUGAGAUAUGGAAGGGAAAGUGGAAUUCCUAGUGUAGCGGUGAAAUGCGCAGAUAUUAGGAGGAAUACCGGUGGCGAAGGCGACUUUCUGGCCAUAAUCUGACGCUGAGGUACGAAAGCGUGGGUAGCAAACAGG